rnacentral:rRNA from 1 species
AUUGAACGCUGGCGGCAGGCCUAACACAUGCAAGUCGAGCGAGCGGCGGAGGGGUGAGUAAUGUAUGGGGACUGCCCGAUAGAGGGGGAUAACUACUGGAAACGGUGGCUAAUACCGAAUACUGUCGGAUAACCACUAUGGGAUUAGCUAGUAGGUAAGGUAAUGGCUUACCUAGGCACCGCUCCCUAGCUGGUCUGAGAGGAUGAUCAGCCACACUGGGAAUGCGACAGGGCCCAGACUCCUACGGAGGCAGCAGUGGGGAAGAUUGCACAAUGGGCGGAAGCCUGAUGUAGCCAUGCCGCGUGUAUGAAGAAGGCCCUAGGGUUGUAAAGUACUGUCAGUCGGGAGGCGUUACCGACAGAAGAAGCACCGGCUAACGCCGUGCCAGCAGCCGCGGUAAUAC